rnacentral:rRNA from 1 species
AGAGUUUGAUCAUGGCUCAGAACGAACGCUGGCGCAGGCUUAACACAUGCAAGUCGAACGCAUCCUUCGGGGUGAGUGGCAGACGGGUGAGUAACGCGUGGGAACGUGCCCUUCAGUUCGGAAUAACCCAGGGAAACUUGGGCUAAUACCGGAUACGUGCGAGAGCAGAAAGAUUUAUCGCUGAAGGAUCGGCCCGCGUCUGAUUAGCUUGUUGGUGAGGUAAAGGCUCACCAAGGCUACGAUCAGUAGCUGGUCUGAGAGGAUGGCCAGCCACAUUGGGACUGAGACACGGCCCAAACUCCUACGGGAGGCAGCAGUGGGGAAUCUUGCGCAAUGGGCGAAAGCCUGACGCAGCCAUGCCGCGUGGAUGAUGAAGGUCUUAGGAUUGUAAAAUCCUUUCAGCGGGGACGAUAAUGACGGUACCCGCAGAAGAAGCCCCGGCUAACUUCGUGCCAGCAGCCGCGGUAAUACGAAGGGGGCUAGCGUUGCUCGGAUUUACUGGGCGUAAAGGGCGCGUAGGCGGACAGUUAAGUUGGGGGUGAAAGCCCGGGGCUCAACCUCGGAAUUGCCUUCAAUACUGGCUGUCUUGAGUGUGAGAGAGGUGUGUGGAACUCCGAGUGUAGAGGUGAAAUUCGUAGAUAUUCGGAAGAACACCAGUGGCGAAGGCGACACACUGGCUCACUACUGACGCUGAGGCGCGAAAGCGUGGGGAGCAAACAGGAUUAGAUACCCUAGUAGUCC